GUCCGCGUGGAGCAAUGCAGCUCACUCCCGCAAAAUAUAAAAUAGCCGAUGUCAGUAUAGGCAGGGAGAGACGGCGGUUCGAGUCCGCCCGGGGACA